rnacentral:misc_RNA from 1 species
AAAUAAGUAAAUAAAAUAACAUUGUAAUGUGUUGUGACACUACAUAAAAGGGAUAUUUUUCAUUUUCUGGACUUUCUUCAGUUUAACAUUAUUGGGAUUUCAUUUGAAUCGAGAUGAGUGAAAACGGGUCAAAUUCAUCAGACCGAUCUGGCACCAAAAGGAAACUAGAAGAUCAUCAUCUAUUCAGCAGAGAGAGUGACGAUGACGACGACAACCUCUCGAUCGGCAGCAGCAGCAAGUACUCGCGCAUGUCCUCCGAUUCCGGAGGCAGCUCGUCGAAAAAACAAAACCACAGCGAGAUUGAGAAACGUCGCCGCGACAAGAUGAACUGCUACAUCUCGGAGCUGUCUCAGCUGAUCCCCAUGUGCCAGUCAAGGAAGCUGGACAAGCUGACCGUGCUGCGGAUGACGGUGCAGCACAUGAAGAUGCUGCGUAACUCCACGCCGUCGGCGGUCGAGGGCCAGUGCAAGCCCGCCUUCGUCACCGACCAGGACAUGAAGAGUCUGAUACUGCAGGCCGCAGACGGGUUCGUGUUCGUGGUCGGCUGCGACCGCGGACGGGUACUCUACGUCUCCAAGUCUGUGGAAAACGUGCUAGACUACACGCAGGACGACUUAAUCGGCCAGAGCCUGUUCGACAUCCUUCACCCGCGCGAUGUUGGCAAGGUAAAAGAACAGCUGGCCUCGUCCGACCUGACGGCCCGCAGUCAGCUGAUCGACUCCAAGACGCUGCUGCCGAUCCCCACCAGUGUUUCCAGCGAGUCCAACAGCCUGUGUCCCGGCUCGAUGCGGUCGUUCUUCUGUCGGAUGAAGUGCGGGCAGGGCGGCGGCGGUGCGGCUGCCAUGGAUGAGUCGGACACGGCGGCCGGGCAGCGGCGACAGCGGCGAUUCUCGGCUGCCGGAGACAAGCGGUUCAAGAUCGUGCACUGCGCCGGCUACCUGAAGGCGUGGGUGCCCUCCUCGGGAGACGUGGAGAAGGAGCCGGAUGAGGAGGGCUGCAACCUCUCCUGUCUGGUGGCCAUCGGCCGGCUGUACUCUCAGAUGGUAACGGCACCGUUUGACGCCGCCAACACGCGGCCGCUCGAGUUCUUCUCGCGGCACACCACCGACGGAAAGUUCCUCUACGCCGACCAAAGGGUGACUCUGGCGCUGGGCUACCUGCCCCACGAGCUGGUCGGUACCAGUAUAUACGAGCUGUGUCAUCCGGACGACAUCGCUCGUAUAGCCAAGACGCACCGCCACUGCCUGCAGUCGCCGGCCGACGAGACGCAGGUAUACAAGUUUCGAGUGAAGAACAACUCCUUCGUAACAGUGCGGACGAAGUGGAAAGCGUUCAAAAACCCGUGGACGAAGGAGUUGGAGUAUAUUUCAGCAUCAAAUCAAAUCAUGAACCCGAGUCCGUCUCGGCCUGGCGGCUCCCGCAGUUCACGGGACCCCGUCCAGGACGAUCUGCUGCGCGGAUUCUCCCCUCUGAACCUGGACGGCUCCGAAACAGGUGGCUCAAUAUCGGGGGAGACGGCUUACAAGUUUGAUAGCAUCAGCGCGAGCAAGAUCGGACGGCGGAUUGCGGACGAGGUGCUGGACAGUAGUCGGCGGCCGUCUCCCUCCCUGACCUCCGCCAGCCCCGCCUCGAACGUCGAAACGCUGCUGGAGAACAUCAGGGAAAACUCCAACUCGGGUUCGACGCUCUUCGACACCGUAAGCCGGGACGACGAGCUGCUGAGCAGCCAGCAGCUGCUGACGGAGGUGAUGCAGGACCGCGACCCCGCCUCGGAGGAGGGCGCCGGCGGAGGCGUGUCGCCGGCCGGCCGGCCUCCCCCUCCCCCGCCGCAGCCGCUGCCGCCUGCGCUGCACGGCCGGAACGGGCUGCCGGGCCCGGCCGAGGCGGCGCAGAGUCCGGCGGCCGCGGACGCGCAGGAGGACGAGGCAGCCAUGGCCGUCAUCAUGUCACUGCUGGAGGCGGACGCCGGUCUCGGCGGACCGGUCGACUUCACCGGACUGCCCUGGCCGCUGCCCUAGACGGAGUGGAGGGUGGCGGUCGACCGAGCUGCGCUGGCGACAGAGGGUCAGUCCACAGCGGCCCAGCUGCCCCGGCGGUGAGCGCGCUAGUUGUUGCAUUGUGACGGCAUUACCACGUGACGUUACCUGCCCGUGAGUCACUGCAGUUACACCACGGUGCCAGGGCCAGCGCUCUGGAGUCUGGCACUCAAUCACUCAGGCGGCAAACGACAAUCAAAUGGCCCGUCCGUCGGUCGCCGGUAGACUGUGGAGCCGCACGCGCAGAUUAUUAUUAUGAGCUCGUGGAGGGUUCGGGCGAUGACCUCAUCUGGCGUCCCCCGCAGUCCUGGGUUAUUGCCAGCAGGGCCCGGGGAGGUAUUGUUGUCUUUCGAUAGGCAUGUGUCGUGUGCUAGCGGUGUGAUUGUGCGCGCAGUGACGGAGGAUAGCGCCCGGUCUGGUUAGUGGGAGCGUAUCGGUUAUGGUUUAGGUCCGCGUAGUGAUGUUUGGUGGCAUUCGGGGGAUGGUGCCGUCAGUCCAAUCGUGAUCAGAGUAUUUAUUGAGCAGCUUUUAGGGGAGCACCAUCUCAUUUUAUGAUGAGUCACUUUAUUUUGGUCAGAUUACCGAAACAAAGGUGCAGUGAACCCGACGCCAAAUUGCUAUCCAAUUUGCGACAGGAAGCUGCAUAGCAGUUUUUACGGGAUUAAAUAUAUCGUCCUUUUGAAAAAAAGGAAUCAAAUAUGUAUUGAGAUAUUGUAGUGCAUAUUUGUUACUGCUUAUCCAUAUGCGGGACGCAUGCAUACUCCGCUUCAAUUAUUCGGUCUUCUAAUUAAGCAGCCUUUUAUUGUGCUGCCAUUUUAGUCAACUUUUCUUCUUUGUUUUGAUAUUUCGCCGCCAAGUCGCAAACAGGUUUAGAUAAUCCGUAAAACAAAUCGAGUAUAUGGGGAGAACGUGCUAUAUUUAUCUGUACCACACAUGGUCAUAGGCAAUCGAUUCUAGCGUCUUUAAUCGUAUGUGAAACAUAAGAUACUUUAUACCUGUCGGCACCGUUUCGGCUAUUCGUGGAAAGUUUGUCGCCAUUCGAUAGACAUGGACUGGUCAUAGUCCAUCAUUUUGAGGAAGUGAUACGAUAGGAUCCGCCGGCCGUUUCGCCUGGUCCUCUACUGGAACGGCGUGAUCGCAGGGCCCGGGGCCCGAUGCCAUUGCUCAGCUGGGGCGGUACGUAGUCUGUAGUUCAAACUCGGGCGGGUGCUCGCGCUUUCAUUGUAGUGCAGUGUCCGCGGUGGCCAGGGCCUCGGACGGCAGUUCCGUGUAUUGGUUCCAGUGGUCCGUCCUCACGGACAAAUCCGGCUCAUCGGAGCACCUCAGCCAGUCGUCGGGCAACCAACCAGAUUCUAUUUUUGCCGGCAGCUGGGAAAACGCCACAUGUGAUCGCUCCGUGCUCAGAAAGUCAAUCUUCCCAGGUUCGCGGGCUGAGCUCAGACUGGUAGGCCUCGGUGCGGGUCGGAGGGCAUUGCCACCGGAACUUUGACGCGGGUCGGCACGGAUAGCGGCCUGACUAGGAGUUCCCCUCCGAGUUUCGGAAGGGACGCGCUGUGUCUCUUCAGACGGGUUCCGAAACGGGGUAAGACAUGUGGACCUCCCUAAUACAUUCAUAGACGGGUGUUACUGUACACCCUUUCAGAGAUGGGUGUCAAACUCGUCACAAGCUAUAUCAAACCGGCUGGGACGGCGUUGUGUUCGAGGGAGCACCGCCGGACUCGCAGAGCUGACUCAAUAGAUAGAUUUACGGUGGUAGCUAGGUGAAGCGAAUCGUCACUACGGGGACUGCUGUGGCAGUGACAAGAGACUGUCUCCGCGGGCCCGUGCAGCCACUGUUGUUUGUAAACAGAUCAAUCCAGUGUGGGGAGGGUGACGCGGGGUAGCGCCGACCGGUGUCGGGCAGCUGGGGAUAUGAGCGGACGAGUGGCCGGGGUGUCUAUACCAACGUACCUGCCGGUGGCGAGUGCCGAGCCGACUGUGAGAGUCGUGGGCGCGCCACAGAGGGUUCCACGCUCGCAGCUGGCCGCGCGGCAGUGACACAGCGCGACGUAUAUUUUAUCUUGUUAUCAUCCGAUCGAUGUCCAUGUACUCUGCGUUGAUACUGGCGGGGCGGCCACCGUGCAAUGUAUGUAUGUCUGUCUGUGUCGUACACACGCCAUGUUAAUCGUACCGGUCGCUGUUGGCUGUUCAUGUGCGCAUUUUGAGCUAGCCAUGGUCAGUGGAGUGUGCAAUAUUUUGUCGCAUUUGGUUGAUGUCUGCGCGCCUGCCGGGACGGGUGCGCGCUCGGCGCCCCCGCGCGUGCUCGCCAGUCGUUUCCACGGGUGGGUGGGCUCCUCUGAUCCGGGUGCUCCUCUUAGUAUGCUAAUUUCCUGUCAUUUUUUUUCCAACCACCAGCUACCGAACCAACCUGGUGCUUCAACUUCCUCUCCUUCAGCUCUGACUGGUCAGAUCCAGGGAGUCCGGGAGGCAGUGUCGACUCCGACGUCCUGGCCAAGACCCAAGUCCGGCGCACCAAGUAAGCAUUGGCCUUUCCCGCCGUCUGUUCCCUGAAUCUCUCUCAAUCUCUUACUUUGCCCUGGUCCUAGCCCUACUUAAGGCAUUUGGUCCCACUUAUCACCCCUCCCGCUGCCCCGUCCACCACUCCUUCCAAACGUCCCCAAUGUCGCAUCCAGCUGAUCGUUUUCCCGAGUGCCCUGUCGAUGUACAUUUGUGACAACUGACAUCUGUCUCGAAUGAGCCAUGGACAGGCUGUUUCUUAUCUAUUCCUGUCCUUUUCAGCAACUACCGUUGUGAACCAGCCUAAACGAUUUCGCCUCUGCUUCCGCCCUUUUGAUGACCUGGCGCCUUCGUUCAAUUAUUUCAAGCUGGUACUGGAUUCCACCUCCUCGCGCCUCUGAUACGAACACAUACACCUUCAUACCAAACUAUCCAAUACCGUACAGACUAUCCAUAAGAUUGCCUUGUCGGGUUCGAUGCUGCGUACCGUUAUCCGGCCGUCCGGUCCUCUCCGGGUAAUCUGACCUGUCUCCGGAGGAGUCGCUGACCUGGUGACUAGACCUGGGGGAGGGGACUGGAGCGCGGCACGACACUUGCCGGUAGGGCGUGAGCUGUGGUCGGGAGGCCAAUAUACGUGCCAUGCUGUGUGCAGAGA